AUGGGUAGGCUACGGAAAGUGUCUCAUCAGGAUGUUCCAUUAGUAUCAUCUUUAGAUAGUGCAGGUUCAGUGGGUGAAGCUUUUGGGCCUAAUGAUUUUGCAGAAGAUGGUUCUUGUCCUAUGUCUCCGGAUCUAUCUCGAGACGAAGGAUGGUUCGACAAGGCUCUUUUGAAGUUCUAUCUCAAUCAAAAAGUAAAAUGCUUAAAAAGUAAACUAUCAUCUACUUGGAGGAAUGUGAGGCAGAAACGAUCUACUGAUUUCCCCAAUUGUGUCACUUUCACUAGAUAUUCUAGGAAGUUUUUCUCUGGUGUUGUUGUUGGAAUGUCUCCUAGGUAUCAGAAUGUCAUCCAGACAUAUGGCACGGGUUGUCUCUUAAACUUUGUUAGGACUGAGGUUCCCCUUAGGCUAGUGAAGUGGAUUGCUAGUAGGUUUGACGUCCCUUCAUCUAAAUUCCAGUUCAAAAGGAAAUUUAUCCCAAUGACCAAGUAUGAUAUCCAUGAUAUCCUUGACCUCCCAGUAGAUGGUGAGCCACUUGUGUGUGAUCACGAGUCUGGUCGUGAUUUUAUCCUAUCUCACUUCAAUGUUUCCAAUAUUCCUCAUGUCUCUUUCUUCGCCAACAAGCUUAAAUCCACCGAAGUUGAGUUGUCUAAUGAAGACAUUUUCAUUUGCUUCAUGAUUGUUGCGUUGUCCUCAUUCCUUCCCAACUCUAGCCUCAGUCCUAGCCCAAAGUACCUUCAUAUUUUUAGGGAUUGUUCUUCUGUGUGUAACUAUGAUCUGUCCAGAUUUGUAUAUGAGUGGUUGUUGAGCAGCAUCAAAAAGUUCAAGGAUUCCACUAAAGUUGCUUCUAAAAGAUCAGUGACGUUUGCUGGUUGUCAACAUUCUUUUGAUGUUUGUUACCUUGACCAACUUAAUUUCGGUCUCCAUUCUGUCCCUGAUAUCAAGCCCCGGAUUCUAGCAUGGAGAGGUCACAAAGUUAAGCAAUUUUCAGAGCUUGAUAGAAACAAUAGCCGCUCUUAUGGCAAGAGGCCUCUAAAGCGGUUGUGUCCUCCAGUUAAUCCGCAGCGGUCUAUUGAGAAAUCUUCAGCAAGCAAGGAUGGUGAUGUUCCCCCUUGUAGUGACAUGCUUUUUGAAAUGAAUGCGCAUAAAUCCUUAGGUACUCGUUUUGGGUUUGAGGCUGCUCAAGUAGUUAUAGACCUUGUUUAA
rnacentral:rRNA from 1 species